rnacentral:rRNA from 1 species
CAGCCGCCGCGGUAAUACGUAGGGGGCGAGCGUUGUCCGGAAUUACUGGGCGUAAAGGGCGCGCAGGCGGAUAUGCAAGUCUGCUGUGUAAUGUCACGGCUCAACCGUGUCAUUGCGGUGGAAACUGCAUAUCUGGAGUACUGGAGAGGGGAGUGGAAUUCCCGGUGUAGCGGUGAAAUGCGUAGCUAUCGGGAGGAACACCAGUGGCGAAGGCGGCUCUCUGGCCAGUUACUGACGCUCAUGCGCGAAAGCUGGGGGAGCGAACCGGAUUAGAUACCCGGGUAGUCCCAGCCGUAAACGAUGAAUGCUAGGUGUGGGUGUCGUAGGGCAUCUGUGCCGCAGUUAACGCGAUAAGCAUUCCGCCUGGGGAGUACGGUCGCAAGAUUGAAACUUAAAGGAAUUGGCGGG